GAUGAACGCUAGCGGCAGGCCUAACACAUGCAAGUCGAGGGGUAGCAGGAUUAAGCUUGCUUAAUUGCUGACGACCGGCGCACGGGUGCGUAACGCGUAUGCAACCUACCUUAUACUGGGGUAUAGCCCGGAGAAAUUCGGAUUAAUCCCCCAUAGUACUAAUGAAUCGCAUGGUUUAUUAGUUAAAGCAUUGCGGUAUAAGAUGGGCAUGCGUCCUAUUAGCUAGAUGGUGAGGUAACGGCUCACCAUGGCUACGAUAGGUAGGGGGCCUGAGAGGGUGGUCCCCCACACUGGUACUGAGACACGGACCAGACUCCUACGGGAGGCAGCAGUGAGGAAUAUUGGUCAAUGGGCGCAAGCCUGAACCAGCCAUGCCGCGUGCAGGAAGAAUGCCCUAUGGGUUGUAAACUGCUUUUAUUUGGGAAUAAACCUCUUUACGUGUAGAGAGCUGAAGGUACCAAAUGAAUAAGCACCGGCUAACUCCGUGCCAGCCGCCGUAAUAC
rnacentral:rRNA from 1 species